AGGUGGAUCAACACUCCAACCAUCUGCAUUAGGGACUGAAUAAAGGAUGCCCUCUGUAGCUGGGAAUGUUAGAUCAGGCGGAUCAACAUUCCAUCCAUCUGCAUUAGGAUCUACCUUAGAGACACUCACUGGAGCUGUAAAUGGGAAGCAGGUCACUUACUUUGCAUUUGUCCUUGGUGGUCACCCCAGGGUCUCUAGAGUGAAAAUUACUCAAUCUAUGGAUUAAACAGAAAAUUUAGUUGUAUGAAGUGCAAUUUGGGACAUUCUUCCAGUUGUCGGCAACUUUGUGAAAAAGGCUGGAAACUAAAAUGCAGAAUUCUGGCCUGGUGUUUGGUCUGUGCUGUCUUUGGCUCUUGCAUCUCCAUCAUCCUGACCCUCUUUAGCAGCCUGUCCAUGUAUUUAUUUGGAGGCCACCAUGAGCACCCAUCUGCAUAAUAUGACUUUGU